UGUCAAGGGAUGGGAAUCGAACCCACGACCAUGCCAUGACCACUAGGCUACCCUGGAC
rnacentral:tRNA from 1 species